ensembl:lncRNA MIR99AHG mir-99a-let-7c cluster host gene
ACCCACUUCUUACCAAGAACUCCUUAACUUGAGGGUGAACAACUUAAAGCUUGAUCCUACAGUUACCUGAAAAGUGAUUUGAGUAUUCAUUGAACUGAAAGAACAAAUCGCCUACUUCAGGCGGUGGCAAGCGUAUGGAAAUUAUAUUAGAACUUCAGCAAAGUGCACAGCUGCAUAAUAGAGAAGCCGGCACUCAGAUUGACAGGCAAAUAAGCCAGCUUGUGGAAGGGGCCUCUGGGUGGCAGCUCUGGGCUUUUGGGUGUUGGACAACCAUAGGCAAAACUGAAAUGGAACAGGGGCAGAAAAUAGCACACUUUUACUCUACGCAACUGUUGCUUUUUCAUGGACAUCCAUAAAAAUUCAUCAGAGAGCAUUUUACUACUGAGCUGCAAAGAUGACAAGAGCACCUCAAAGGCAGCAGCCUCAAGGAGCAGCCAUGGCCCCAGACUUGUCGCACGGAUGCAGAAAACUUAAUGGAGGAGGCUGAGGUCAGAAUGGGAAGAGUUUUUAAAAAAUAAAAAGGGGAGCUAAUAUG